rnacentral:rRNA from 1 species
GACGAACGCUGGCGGCGUGCUUAACACAUGCAAGUCGAACGAUGAAGCCGGAGCUUGCUCUGGUGAAUUAGUGGCGAACGGGUGAGUAACACGUGAGUAACCUGCCCUGGACUCUGGGAUAACCCCGAGAAAUCGGAGCUAAUACCGGAUAGGACCCUGUACCGCAUGGUGCGGGGUGGAAAGUUUUUCGGUCUGGGAUGGACUCGCGGCGUAUCAGCUUGUUGGGGAGGGAAUGGCUCGCCAAGGCGGCGACGGGUAGCCGGCCUGAGAGGGUGACCGGCCACACUGGGACUGAGACACGGCCCAGACUCCUACGGGAGGCAGCAGUGGGGAAUAUUGCACAAUGGGCGCAAGCCUGAUGCAGCAACGCCGCGUGCGGGAUGACGGCCUUCGGGUUGUAAACCGCUUUUAGUAAGGAAGAAGGGGAGCUUGCUCCUUGACGGUACUUGCAGAAAAAGGACCGGCUAACUACGUGCCAGCCGCCGCAGUAA